CACGGGGCGUGAUCGCGCCAUGAUUCGUGCGGUCGUGGAAACGGACGGUGGAUUUCAGGGUCGCGUGCGGGGAGCCGUGCGGGCACGUGCACGGUGAGGGCUCGGGAAGUACGCUGUGCCCACCCGGCCCAAUCGGCGGUCGACAGAGUCCGGAAUCCCUAAGAACAUUUCCCUCUCCUGCGUCCCUCUCCUGCGUGAUCCUGAUCUCUCUCUCUCUCUCUCUCUCUCUCUCUCUCUGUGCGCGCCCGUGUACGACGCAAGGACGAAUUGUAUACGCAAUAAAUAAUUAGGAAUCAGCAGCGGCAUUUAAGACGAUCACGUCUUGAUCGCUACAAAUGAAGCGAGGCGGCGAGAGAGAGUAGCCGGAAACCCUAAUGGAAAAGUUCCGCAGAGAGAGAGAGAGAAGGGGACGGGCGCGUUCCUCUUCUUCCAUCUUCUAUUUGGUGGUGGAUCUUCUUAUUCUUCUUCUUCUUCUUCUUCUUAUUCGUCUUGGUUUGAGUUUGUGGUCGAUUGGAAGGGGGUUGUGGAGUCUCGUCCGGGGCGGUUGGGGGGGUUGACAGAAGAGAGUGAGCACACGGCGGCGAUCGCAUCGGCGGGGUGCCAUCGCUGUUGCGUGCUCACCUCUCUCUCUGUCAUCCCGAUAUCUCCGGAUCCGUUUCUUCAUCCGAUGGCGAUCGUGGUGUCUUGGUGUGGAAGUGGUAAAAAGAGUGGUGACGGGAAAAAGGUAAGGGUGCGUUUUGCUGGACAUGCGCGCAGGCUCUUUUUUUAUGUCGGCAGCUCGUCUCUGAGCAGUCUCGUCAUGGGCGGGUUACCGAGCUACGGAAGCAAGAAAUCAAGGAAGAGGAAGACGGUGAGAAAGAAAAAUCUCAUCUUGGUGGAUCUGAGAGUGGAAGCGUGGCUCCUGCGUUGAAGGCGAUUUGCAUCGGGGAGCGAGCUCGGAGGGGUGCAGAGUCAGACGUCUCCUCCCUCUCUUUAUCUUCUGCUUUCCGUCUUUAUCUUCUGCCGCUUACUCGGAUUUAUGGAAAUCGCUGUUGACCGGUCGUCGUCGUCCUCUUCUUCUUGUCUGCCUUCCUCGCCUUGCCUCGCCUCACUCUCCUACUAAUGCUUCUUUCCUUCCCUUGCUUUUCUUGUCUUUGCAGAUGGAUGAUGAACUGAUCUUUGGAACUCGAAGGCCAGUUCCAUUGGUUACGAUAAUCUCGAGGUGGUGUCCUCUUGCUUCUCGUAUUAAUAUCUUUUUCUUUAUUGCUCGAAAUGUAUCGGCUUGCCUGCUUUCUGUUGCUGAUUCCGACCCUAUUCCUCUCACUUAUUGCAUGCACUUAAGGGUUGCUGCACGCAUGCAUCAAGCAAUCAUUGAGUUGGUUUUCCUGUUGGAAGUCGGAUGAAUCUGUGGAUGCUCCAUAAGGCCUCGGUAAGUCGUCGGACUUCGUUUCGUGGUCGACGUUCUACCUCAUUACUAGUUGAGGAAAGAGUCUCGUCUGCUUUUGGUUAUGCGACGGAGGGCUUUAUUCCUUUGGUCACAGGAAAGCUUUAUCACAUCGGGCAACAAUGGAGCUUCUUAUGGUUUCUUUCUCGGUUAGGGAGUGAAAUUGUGCUUUUAUAUAAUAUCCAACUUGAUGUAUAUUAGUUUACCUAAAUUCCUGUGUUCUGAUGUGGCGAUGUGAAUGGCUAUAGCUAUAGGAAUGGAAUUUAGGAAGAGAAAGUUCAUAAAUUUAGGUCUUUUCUUUGAUCUAUGCCCUAUACAAUGCCAAGAAAAUCUUGUUGACAGAACUGAAUUUUUAGGAACCCACAUAGAACAUAAGAUCAGAUAUUGUUUAUUCAUGGGAAAAUCUGUGUUUGUUUUCCACGGUAUGAAAUUAAAAUGUCUCAUGUUUAACGAGAUUGUCAAGUUUGCUAACAUAAGAUUUGAUUGAUCUGUGGUAAUUUUUUUUAUUAUAAUUAUACUUAUGAGUUUAUGAGGCAUGACUGACCCUUUUCACCCUUUUUACCAUGAAACUUCUGCCAAAUGGACUCUUUAACCACACCAUUUUUGGGGACAAGAAAACAACAAUACAAAAGCUCAAAGAAAGCUAAAUAUUGGUUGAAUGAUUGAUGAAGAAAAAGCAAGUACUGAAUCAUUGAACUUGAAGGGGAAGCAUAUUGAUUGCCUGAUGGACUAUGACAAGGAAUUGUCAGGGGGAAUUUCGGUGGUUAUAAAUCUUUUCAUUAUAGUGGAAAAGACAAUGUCCUACCAUUUAGCUCAUAAUCAUAUGGAUGAAUUGACAUUUUGACCCAAUUCAUUUGUCAUUCCAGCCCUUGUUCUUCUACAGCUAUUUGAUGUGUUUUGUAUGGAAAGACGCUAUAAUGUCGAUGUCCUUCAGAAUCAUUUACUAUUUUAUUAUACUUUCGCUUAUUUACUUUACAUAUUUAUGGUCUUUUUUUUAGUUGCUUCCUAUUGCCUAAAUGCUUGUUUAAGUUUGGUAUCGAUUCAGGAGGUUAUACAGCUCUUCCCUUAAUUGCGAAUAAUUAAGUUGUCUAUGAUGGAUAGAAAUGAAUUGCAUCUUAGUGUUGCUUGUUUUCCUGAACCCUAGUAGAGGACAGGAAUAUAAUUACCUGCAUUUUUCAUGAUUCUAAACACCUUUGUCAGACUACAGAUAUGUUCCUGUCUUUUUGUUCUUACAUUUUUGAGAAAAUAUUCCAUGCUGGCUUUCCGUCCCAAGUUCUUUAAAUUUUCUUUUAUUUUUUCUCUAAGCAGAUAGAAGCACUACCAGUUUUACUGGAUAAAUAUUGUUGCUAUUGUUAAUUCUUGAACAUAUUAUCUUAUCUAUAUUUUGCACAAUUUUCUUCAAAAUCAGUUAAGUCUGACUAAUUCAGCACCAUUGCUUUCUUGAUCCAGGAUUACUAUAGUUCAAUAACCUGGAAGGACACUUUUAUAACAAAGAUGUUUCUUAAAGUUAGAUUUAAGGCUAACAGGGAUUCAGAAUUUUGAUGACACAUAGAAUAAGUUUUUUAAGAAAGAAUUUACUUCUUCCAUUCAAAUACUACAUAAUGUGUGCACAAGACUCCUACAACCGGACUUGGAUUCCUUACCUUACUACACACAUUUCUCCUUGAACAGUAAACUGUCUCCUUCAAAGACCACACAGUCUAAGUGACUUUGCAAGACAGAUAUCAUCACAUUUUAAGUGAUAAUGUAUUACCAUGAAUGGUGUUUGAUUGGAAGAGACUGUAAGCAAAUGCUAUCUGGGUUGGCAUUUGUUGAAUUGACUUAUUAGUGUACAUUAAAUGUUCCUUAAUGUGCUGACUUCUUAGCUCUUAAGUGGCAUUUACUUUGUUGACCUUUUAUCGAGUCCAUCAUUUAUUCUUUUGCUACAGAAGGUCUAUAUGUGCUAUUUUGAGUGCAACACUGUCAUUUAAUGUGGCUUAGAAAUUGAAAUACAAGAUAUAGAUGGAUUUGUUGGAACUUUCUGAAAGCUUUUGUUCUUCUUGUCUGAAAUCUACUAAGCAAAUACUAUAUCUGAAAUUUAAUAAUUAAAUCCCUUCUUGAUUUGUUUCUCCAUGUCCGGACCGUCAACUAAGCUUUUGUUCUUGUUGUCUAUCUUUCUAUAUAUAUUUCAAAUUAUUGCAAUAUCUCAUAGAAGAUGAGAGCAGAAAGGCCUCCCAUGAGACAUGAGAGUAGAAAAGGAGAUCUAAGUUAAAAAAGAAAGGAAGACCCAAUGCAGAAUGUGGGUUUUGGCAGGGUUAAAUGUUACAAUCUUAUUGUUAUAGACAGAGAGAUCAUUUCCAUGAUUUAUACGUUUACCUGAAUAUAGUAGUCUUUGGUAUGCUCCUAAUUAUCUAGGAAAUAAGCUGGAAAUGCAUCUAAAUCUUACAUGAUUGGAUAAAAUUCGUGAGUACUGAAUGAUUGUGUGCUUUUGAAUGCUAAAAAAUACUUGAUAUGGACAAAUUCAUAACUUGACCAUAUCUUUUACCCGAAGUCCCUUUGUGGAUGAGGGAUGUCUUCAAUUUCAAGUUAUUUUCUUAAGGUCUGUUGUGUGGUGCUUUAGGGUUUUGCACUGCCAUUGGCAUCUUGAUGCUUUUGUCUUAUCAAUUCAUAAAUCUAAUGAAACAGUGGAUUUUUGUGAGCUUUUCUAAUAUAAGAAUAGAUUGUAAUUGUACCAUGUUCAAGAUGUGAGUUUUAUGAUGUGGUUCAUAUUUGGUGAUCAUCUUGAUAUGAGAUAAACAUAAUAAAUCACUUUCAUUUUUGUUAAGUUUAUGUCUAAGAAUUGUAGUAACUCAGCAUCAAGCAAGGAUUCUUUUUUUUUUUUCCUGAUUAUAUACAUAAAUGGUGCAUCGUUCGCUCUUCUUUAUAGCUGCAAACAUCUUCUUUUCCUUUCAUGAGUCCAAAUUGGCAAUCUCCAGGAUUUGAUUGCUGAUUUAAUUCUUGUUGUGGCGCCAAGCUCCGUGAUGAUACAACAAAAUUGUUGCUGUGUAGCAUCUACUGUUGCAAAAAUUAUACAUUUGCCAAAGGUAUCAGGAGGAAUUGAUUGUGAUGCUGUCGUUUUGACGGUAGCAAGAGUUUCAUAGCAGAAGAGAGCCAUCUCCAGGAGCAUCCUUCGACAACGUUUCUUCUUGUGAAUCAUUAAGCUGGAUUGGAAAGCUGAAGCAGAAGCCAUCAAGUGGAGAAGCUUUCAUCGGAUGGAUCCUGAAGUGGAACCAAACCUGUGACAGCAAUGUUGUGGCACCACAUUGCUCCCAUGUCAGAAGCGGGUGGAUGGUAUGAUGCGACCGGUCACUGUGCCAUGUCUUGGUGAUCUUCUUUCUACAUGUCAACAAUCCCUCAAGAAAAGAUGGGAAAGAAAGCAGAGCAGCUACACAAAACAGAGCAAGAGACUAAGAAAACCGUGGUCCUGAUCUCCAUGGCUUGUGGGGAGUGCAGAGGCAUCAUAAACAUGAAUACCAGACUUGAUGCACUUGAUAGCAACUGCAAGAAUUAAUGUUUCCACGAUCACAAGAGGGAAGGAGACAGAAAUGUCGUCGUGGUCUGUAAUGUUCACAGGCUGCCAUUAAUGGUGCUUCGCCAACGAGUGUGUGUAGGAAAGGGAGGACGAGGAGGGGGGGGGGGGGGUCACUGGCCUUAUUGUUCCAAAGUCAGAGCUACCACGGUGUGAUGAAAGCUUUGCCAUGUCUUCGUUUCAAGCUCGGCUGCGGUUGGAAUCCUCCUCCUGCUUUGACUGUCUUGAUAGCCAAACAGUCAUUUUUCGAGACAGCCAUAUAAAUUCCUCAGCCUCUCGCGUGGAGUCCGUUGCUGCCCCUCUAGAAGUGAAGAGAUGGAAGUCAACUUUAAGCCACCAGAGAAAGGUGGAGAUCAGCAUGAGUCGGUCGAGAGUUGUGAUUCGGGCUAUUAAGAUAGCAAGAGGACAAUCUGUUUCACGGAUACGUGCCAUCAAAGGUGUUUUGACUUCAUCCUCACCACAAGAUUAUUUCUACAUGUGUAAGCAAUACUUUUUGAUCUCUUUUGUGCUACUGAGGCGUUGACAAGUAUUCUAGCAAUGGUUGACUUUUCUUGAUAGAUAAUAUUACCACAUUGACAUAUUAUCGUA